UUGCAGAGCUGAUAUAUGGUCAUUUGGGAUAAACUGCUUUAGAGUUGGCCCAUGGUCAUGCUCCCUUCUCGAAGUACCCUCCGAUAAAGGUGGUUGGAGCUGCAGUACUUGUGAACAGCUGGGUAUCUGAUUUAGACCUACAACGGUUAUCCGCAAUGGAAAACUACUGGCACAGGAACUUCUGGAAAAGUAUAAAGAUAUGCAAGAGGCAAUAUGCAUUCAAUUUCACGCACACCAAGCUGCUAAUGGAGAUGCCACACAUGCGGUGUCAGAGACUUAAAUGCUCUAUGA